rnacentral:rRNA from 1 species
GGUGAACGCUGGCGGCGUGCCUAAUACAUGCAAGUCGAGCGAGGUAGAUUUGAAAGCUUGCUUUCAAAUCUACCUAGCGGCGGACGGGUGAGUAACACGUGGGUAACCUGCCCUUUGGAUUGGGAUGACAUCAGGAAACUGGUGCUAAUACCGAAUAGGAAGAAGAGUCGCAUGACUUUUCUUGGAAAGGUGGCGUAAGCUACCACUAAAGGAUGGACCCGCGGCGCAUUAGCUAGUUGGUGGGGUAACGGCCUACCAAGGCGACGAUGCGUAGCCGACCUGAGAGGGUGAUCGGCCACACUGGGACUGAGACACGGCCCAGACUCCUACGGGAGGCAGCAGUAGGGAAUCUUCGGCAAUGGGCGAAAGCCUGACCGAGCAACGCCGCGUGAGUGAAGAAGGUUUUCGGAUCGUAAAACUCUGUUGUAAGGGAAGAACAGCAGGUAGUUAAAUAAGCUACUUGUGUGACGAUACCUUAUUAGAAAGCCACGGCUAACUACGUGCCAGCAGCCGCCGUAAGAC